UACGGGGGGGGGUAAGCGUUGUUCGGAAUUACUGGGCGUAAAAGGGCUCGUAGGCGGCCAACUAAGUCAUACGUGAAAUCCCUCAGCUUAACUGGGGAACUGCGUGUGAUACUGGAUGGCUUGGAUUUGGGAGAGGGAUGCGGAAUUCCAGGUGUAGCGGUGAAAAUGCGUAGAUAUCUGGAGGAACACCGGUGGCGAAGGCGGCAUCCUGGACCAAUACUGACGCUGAGGAGCGAAAAGCCAGGGGAGCAAAACGGGGAUUAAGAUA
rnacentral:rRNA from 1 species